AACAAACGCUGGCGGCGUGCCUAACACAUGCAAGUCGUACGAGAAAGGGUCCUUCGGGGCCUGAGUAAAGUGGCGCACGGGUGAGUAACGCGUGGAUAAUCUGCCCUUCAGUUGGGAAUAACUCAUCGAAAGGUGGGCUAAUACCGAAUAAUGCUGUGAGACCCCGGUUGAUAAGCCACAGAGAGCAUCUGCUUGCAAGCCCUCGCUGAAGGAAGAGUCCGCGUACCAUUAGCUAGUUGGUAGGGUAAUGGCCUACCAAGGCGACGAUGGUUAGCUGGUCUGAGAGGAUGAUCAGCCACACUGGAACUGAGACACGGUCCAGACUCCUACGGGAGGCAGCAGUGAGGAAUCUUGCGCAAUGGGGGCAACCCUGACGCAGCAACGCCGCGUGAGUGAGGAAGGUCUUCGGAUCGUAAAGCUCUGUCGGAUGGAAAGAACCGCAUAGGGGUAAACAGCCCCUGUGUCUGACGGUACCAUCAAAGGAAGCACCGGCUAACUCCGUGCCAGCCGCCGCAGUAAUAC
rnacentral:rRNA from 1 species